rnacentral:rRNA from 1 species
AGAGUUAUGAUCAUAGGCUCCGUGAUGUACUGCUGGCGGCGUAGCCUAACCCAUGCCAGCCGAACGAGAAGCUAACUUCUGAUUCCUUCGGGAUGAUGAGGUUAGCAGAAAGUAGCUGAACGGGUGAGUAACGCGUGGGUAAUCUACCCUGAAAGUGGGGGAUGACCCUCCGAAAGGAGGGCUAAUACCGCAUAAUAUCUUUAUCCCAAAAGAGGUAAAGAUUAAAGAUGGCCUCUAUACUAAAGCUAUCGCUUCAGGAUGAGCCCGCGUCCUAUUAGUUAGUUGGUGGGGUAAUGGCCUACCAAGGCGACAAAUGGGUAGCCGGUUUGAGAAGGAUGUACGGCCACACUGGGACUGAGAUACGGCCCAGACUCCUACGGGAGGCAAGC